rnacentral:rRNA from 1 species
GGCUUAGAGUUUGAUCAUGGCUCAGGAUGAACGCUGGCGGCGUGCCUAACACAUGCAAGUCGAACGAAGCGAUUUUGCGGAAGUUUUCGGAUGGAAGCGGAAUUGACUGAGUGGCGGACGGGUGAGUAACGCGUGGAUAACCUGCCUCAUACAGGGGGAUAACAGUUAGAAAUGACUGCUAAUACCGCAUAAGCGCACGGGAACGCAUGUUCCUGUGUGAAAAGCCGAGACGGUAUGAGAUGGAUCCGCGUCUGAUUAGCUAGUUGGUGAGGUAACGGCCCACCAAGGCGACGAUCAGUAGCCGACCUGAGAGGGUGACCGGCCACAUUGGGACUGAGACACGGCCCAAACUCCUACGGGAGGCAGCAGUGGGGAAUAUUGCACAAUGGGGGAAACCCUGAUGCAGCGACGCCGCGUGAGUGAAGAAGUAUUUCGGUAUGUAAAGCUCUAUCAGCAGGGAAGAGAAUGACGGUACCUGACUAAGAAGCCCCGGCUAACUACGUGCCAGCAGCCGCGGUAAUACGUAGGGGGCAAGCGUUAUCCGGAUUUACUGGGUGUAAAGGGAGCGUAGACGGCAUAGCAAGUCUGAAGUGAAAUACCCGGGCUCAACCCGGGAGCUGCUUUGGAAACUGUUAGGCUGGAGUGCUGGAGAGGCAAGCG